CCGGGGCAUUUGGAAAUGACGUCAUUAGCGUUCGACAGAACAAAGCGGGAAGCGUCAAGGCUGAUAUUUGUUUACAGAGCAGUUACGAAAUGCACAGAUUUUGAGGUGAGUGGGCAGUGUAAAUAACAUGGCCACCCAGCGCGUCCUCCCACAGAGUAAAGAGACUCUUCUUCAGAACUACAACAAAAGGCUAAAAGAUGACAUCAGGUCCAUUUUGGACAACUUCACAGAAAUCAUCAAAACUGCCAAGGUAGAGGAUGAAACGCAGGUCUCUAGGGCAACACAAGCAGAGCAAGACCACUAUGAAAUGCACGUUCGAGCUGCCAACAUUGUGCGGGCCGGUGAGUCUCUGAUGAAGCUGGUGUCUGAUCUGAAGCAGUUCCUGAUUCUAAAUGAUUUCCCUUCUGUAAACGAAGCCAUUAGCUUGCGCAACCAACAGCUGCGGGCACUGCAGGAGGAAUGCGACAAGAAGCUCAUCUCCCUGCGGGACGAGAUUGCCAUAGACCUGUAUGAGCUCGAGGAAGAGUAUUACUCCUCCAGGUACAAAUAGUGUCCCCAGAGACCCUGCACACCUGUAGCUGAGUCUCAUAAUGUUCAACACACAUACACAAAUAUACACACAAUACAUACUUUUGUGCCUUAAGAAGAGUAGUUACUCAUGAAGAUUCUACAGAAAGGAUUCUACACAUCUGUGGUCAUCAUACUUACCCAGUGUUAUCCUUGAACACUAACAUGCCCAUGUAUCAUUCACAUACCUUAGUGCCUUGGGUAUGGUAUAUUUUAUCAAGACUGUGACGACAGUAGCUUAAGAUUUUAACCCAAACCAAAGUAAAAAUGUGAAAUUGAUUAUAUAUUGAGAGAAUUUAUUAAUGCAAAAACCAAGGCUGUGAUUUGUUCCCAAUAAUAGCAUCUGUUUCCAGUAAUGGCAUUUUGCAUGAGAGUAAUAUAUGUUAAAAAUACUAAAAGCUGGAGGAAAUUGUGUCCAAAGUGCCUUAUUUUAAAAGAGGUAUCAGUAGUUUGCUAUUAAGAUUCAAUUGUCUUUAAAGGAAGACUCCAGUGUUUUUAAACCUCAUUUAUAUUUGCUUCAUCUGUAUUGUACAGUCAGUUACCACAGACAACAAUUAACACACAUUUUCUUAUACAGAACAGAAAAUGGGCAGUUGCUGCAUUAUAUGGGACUAGCUUUCUAAAGAGAAGAGUGGUAGUUUCAAACACAGUCGUGGUGUGAGCGGAGCUUUCAGAAGCUUCUGAGUGAUCGCACAUGUAUCCCAGAAAACUUCACAAGAAAUGGAAAGUAACUUGAUUUGCUUUUUUUUUGCUGUGUUACUCCAGUGUUUUAUCAUUGGAUAAAACUUUAAUUGAGCAGCUCCGGUAAGACAUUUUCUCAUAAUUUUACAUACAAAUGUUUAUUUACAGAAUUCAGCACCUGCUCAGUGGCUUUUAUUAUUAGUCAGUUUUGAGCCAACAGUGUUUCUGUUCUUUCAAAUAUGCUGAAAUUACUCUCUGUGGUAAUUGAUAGGGCAAAAUAAAUGCGGCAGAUAGGGAUUAAGUUGAAAAACGUUGGCACAUUCUUUUAAGGGGAUUAUGGUAGGUGAAGUACAUACAGAGAUUUCGCAGUUUAUUGUGAUUCUAUGUUGUGUAUAUAAUGGUGAUAUUUGUGAUAUUUCACACAUUUUAUUUUUUUAUAUGCUGUGCUGAUGAAUUAGACAAAUCAGUGUUGUAAUGCACAAAAAAAGUUCACAUCAAAGCACAUUUUAAUAACAUGGAGUGUUAGAUUUUUAGGGGAGUCAACAGACCAGUCAGGUUGAUUAAAACAUGUAAGUUAUGUUACAGUGAUUUCUUUCAUUUUAGUUGAUGAUUUUCAUGUAUAAGAGAUUGUAAUUGUCCUUUUAGAAUCAGCUUAAUGCAAAUUUGUGUAAAGUUACAUCUUAGCUUGCACUGUUAUAGCCCAUAAUAUUUCAUGUUUUUUUUUAAAGCAGAGAUGACUUUUUUCUUUUUCAAAUGGAAACAAACAUUGUCUCGUCACAUUUUCAAACAGAGUAGCUUAAUGAGAGAUGCUAGCUGUGGGUCAAAUCCAUUAUUGUUCAAAAUGUGUUAGAAUGUAUUCCAUUUUUUUACAGUCUAAUUGGUCAUGUUAAACUUUACAAAUAAAGCAGUAAGGAAAGAGAGCAA